rnacentral:rRNA from 1 species
UCGGGAAUUUUGGGCAAUGGGCGAAAGCCUGACCCAGCAACGCCGCGUGAAGGAUGAAGUAUUUCGGUAUGUAAACUUCGAAAGAAUAGGAAGAAUAAAUGACGGUACUAUUUAUAAGGUCCGGCUAACUACGUGCCAGCAGCCGCGGUAAUACGUAGGGACCAAGCGUUGUUCGGAUUUACUGGGCGUAAAGGGCGCGUAGGCGGCAAUUCAAGUCAUCUGUGAAAUCUCCGGGCUUGACUCGGAACGGUCAGAUGAUACUGCUUUGCUAGAGUGCAGAAGGGGCAAUCGGAAUUCUUGGUGUAGCGGUGAAAUGCGUAGAUAUCAAGAGGAACACCUGAGGUGAAGACGGGUUGCUGGGCUGACACUGACGCUGAGGCGCGAAAGCCAGGGGAGCAAACGGGAUUAGAUACCCCAGUAGUCCCUGAGCGGGCUGGCAAGGCGCAU